CCUACACAACAGACAGUCAUGUUCUACACACUUCUGCUAAUGCUGACCACUGCAGCUUCCUAUGUUCAGUGUGAAAUCUCUCUCACUCAGCCGAGUUCAGUGAUGAUAAAGCCAGGAGGAUCUCUGAGCAUCAGCUGUAAAGUAUCUGGUUAUUCAGUUACUGAUAACAGCUAUGCCACAGGUUGGAUUCGACAGCCUGCAGGAAAAGCUCUGGAGUGGAUAAACUACAUCUGGGGGGGUGGAACUAUUAGACAAAAAGAUUCUCUGAAAAGCAAGUUCAGUAUUUCUAAAGAAUCCUCCAGCAGCUCCGUCACUUUACAAGCUCAGAACAUGCAGCCUGAAGACACAGCUGUGUAUUACUGUGUUCGCUAUAGAGGCACAGAUGUACAAAACAUAGGAGUGCAUGUACAAAAACAUCAGAGUUGAACCACAGUGUCAGAAACAUGAUGCUCUGUGCGCUGGGUUGGUGGU